rnacentral:rRNA from 1 species
AGAGUUCGAUCUUGGCUCAGGAUAAAUGCUGGUGGCAUACUUAACACAUGAAAGUCGGAUGGGAAACACGGAUAAUGGUGUUUCCAGUGGUGGAUGGGUGAGUAAUGCAUAAGAACCUGCCCUUGGGAGGGGAACAACAGCUUGAAAUGGCUGCUAAUACCCCAUAAGCUAAGAAGCAAAAGGAGGAAUCCUCCUGAGGUGGGGCUCACAUCUGAUUAGCUAGUUGAUGAGGCAAUAGUUUACCAAGGAGAUGAUAAGUAGCUGGUCUGAGAGGAUGAUCAGCCACACUGGGACUGAGACACGGCCCAGACUCCUACGGGAGGCAGCAGUGCAGAAUUUUCCACAAUGAGCGAAAGCCUAAUAGAGCAAUGCCGCAUAGAGGUAGAAGACCCACGGGUUGUGAACUUCUUUUCCUAGAGAAGAAGCAAUAACAGUAUCUGGGGAAUAAGUAUUGGUUAACUUUAUGCCAGCAGCCGUGGUAAUACAGAGGAUGCAAGCAUUAUCCAAAAUGAUUGGGUGUAAAGCAUCUAUAGGUGGCUUUUUAAGUCCGCCAUCAAAUCCCAGGUCUCAACCCUGGACAGGCGGUGGAAACUACCAAGAUGGAGUAUGGUAGGGGCAGAGGGAAUUUUUGGUGGAGUGGUGAAAUGUGUAGAGAUCGGAAGGAAGACUAACGGCGAAAGCACUCUACUGGGCCGACACUAAUACUGAGAGACGAAAGCUAGGGGAGCGAAUGGGAUUAGAUACCCCAGUAGUCCUAGCCAUAAACGAUGGAUACUAGGCGUUGUGCGUAUCGACCCAUGCAGUGCUAUAGCUAACACAUUAAGUAUCCCGCCUGUGGAGUACGUUCGUAAGAAUGAAACUCAAAGGAAUUGACGGGGGCCUGCACAAGCGGUAGAGCAUGUGGUUUAAUUCGAUGCAAUGCGAAAAACCUAACCAGCGCUUGACAUACCGUGAAUCUUCUUAAAAGAGAGAGGUGUCUUCGAGAACACGGACACAGGUGGUGCAUGGCUGUCAUCAGCUCAUGCCGAAGGUGUUCAGUUAAGUCCUGCAAUGAGCGGAACCCUCGUGUUUAGUUACCAUCAAUGAAUUUGGAACCCAAAAUAGACUGCUGGUGAUAAGCCGGAGAAAGGUGAGGAUUAAGUCAAGUCAUUAUGCCCCUUAUGCCCUAGGCAACAUAUGUGCUACAAUGGCUGGGACAAAGGGUCUCGAUCCCGCGAGGGUGAGCUAACCCUAAAAACCCAUCCUCAGUUCAGAUUACAGGCUGCAAAUUGCCUGUAUAAAGUCAGAAUUGCUAGUAAUCGCCGGUCAGCCAUACAACGGUGAAUUUAUUCCCGGGCCUUGUACACACUGCCCAUCAUACUAUGGGAGUUGACCAUGCCGAAGUCAUUACCUUAACUGCAUGGAUAGGGAUGUCGAAGGCAGGGCUAGUGACUGAAGUGAAGUCAUAACAAGGUAACCGUACUGGAAGGUGCGGCUG